rnacentral:rRNA from 1 species
UUUUAAAAGACCUAGCAAUAGGUAUGCUUAGGGAGGAGCUUGCGUCACAUUAGUUAGUUGGUGGGGUAAAGGCCUACCAAGACUAUGAUGUGUAGCCGGGCUGAGAGGUUGAACGGCCACAUUGGGACUGAGACACGGCCCAAACUCCUACGGGAGGCAGCAGUAGGGAAUUUUCGGCAAUGGAGGAAACUCUGACCGAGCAACGCCGCGUGAACGAUGAAGUAUUUCGGUACGUAAAGUUCUUUUAUUAGGGAAGAAUAAAUGAUGGAAAAAUCAUUCUGACGGUACCUAAUGAAUAAGCCCCGGCUAACUAUGUGCCAGCAGCCGCGGUAAUACAUAGGGGGCAAGCGUUAUCCGGAAUUAUUGGGCGUAAAGGGUGCGUAGGCGGUUAAAUAAGUUUAUGGUCUAAGUGCAAUGCUUAACAUUGUGAUGCUAUAAAAACUGUUUAGCUAGAGUAAGAUAGAGGCAAGUGGAAUUCCAUGUGUAGUGGUAAAAUGCGUAAAUAUAUGGAGGAACACCAGUAGCGAAGGCGGCUUGCUGGGUCUUUACUGACGCUGAGGCACGAAAGCGUGGGGAGCAAACAGGAUUAGAUACCCUGGUAGUCCACGCCGUAAACGAUGAGUACUAAAUGUUGGGUAAAACCAGUGUUGAAGUUAACACAUUAAGUACUCCGCCUGAGUAGUACGUACGCAAGUAUGAAACUUAAAGGAAUUGACGGGACUCCGCACAAGCGGUGGAUCAUGUUGUUUAAUUCGAAGGUACCCGAAAAACCUCACCAGGUCUUGACAUGCUUCUGCAAAGCUGUAGAAACACAGUGGAGGUUAUCAGUUGCACAGGUGGUGCAUGGUUGUCGUCAGCUCGUGUCGUGAGAUGUUGGGUUAAGUCCCGCAACGAGCGCAACCCUUAUUGUUAGUUGCCAGCACGUAAUGGUGGGGACUUUAGCAAGACUGCCAGUGAUAAAUUGGAGGAAGGUGGGGACGACGUCAAAUCAUCAUGCCCCUUAUGACCUGGGCUACAAACGUGAUACAA